GUGGGGAAUCUUAGACAAUGGGGGAAACCCUGAUCUAGCCAUGCCGCGUGAGCGAUGAAGGCCUUAGGGUUGUAAAGCUCUUUCAGCUGGGAAGAUAAUGACGGUACCAGCAGAAGAAGCCCCGGCUAACUCCGUGCCAGCAGCCGCGGUAAUACGGAGGGGGCUAGCGUUGUUCGGAAUUACUGGGCGUAAAGCGCACGUAGGCGGAUCAGAAAGUCAGAGGUGAAAUCCCAGGGCUCAAACUUGGAACUGCCUUUGAAACUCCUGGUCUUGAGGUCGAGAGAGGUGAGUGGAAUUCCGAGUGUAGAGGUGAAAUUCGUAGAUAUUCGGAGGAACACCAGUGGCGAAGGCGGCUCACUGGCUCGAUACUGACGCUGAGGUGCGAAAGCGUGGGGAGCAAACAGGAUUAGAUACCCCGGUAGUCC
rnacentral:rRNA from 1 species